UACGAAGGGGGCUAGCGUUGCUCGGAAUUACUGGGCGUAAAGCGCACGUAGGCGGCUUUCUAAGUCGGGGGUGAAAUCCCGGAGCUCAACUCCAGAACUGCCUUCGAUACUGGAGAGCUCGAGUCCGGGAGAGGUGAGUGGAACUGCGAGUGUAGAGGUGAAAUUCGUAGAUAUUCGCAAGAACACCAGUGGCGAAGGCGGCUCACUGGCCCGGUACUGACGCUGAGGUGCGAAAGCGUGGGGAGCAAACAGG
rnacentral:rRNA from 1 species